rnacentral:rRNA from 1 species
AUACGGAGGGUGCAAGCGUUAUUCGGAAUCACUGGGCGUAAAGGACGCGUAGGCGGGAAGCCAAGUCUGAUGUGAAAUCCUAUGGCUUAACCAUAGAACUGCAUUGGAAACUGGUUACCUAGAGUAUGGGAGGGGGAGAUGGAAUUAGUGGUGUAGGGGUAAAAUCCGUAGAUAUCACUAGGAAUACCGAAAGCGAAGGCGAUCUCCUGGAACAAUACUGACGCUAAGGCGUGAAAGCGUGGGGAGCAAACGGGAUUAGAAACCCUUGUAGUCC